AGAGCGGAUCUAGGAGCGGUUCUAGGAGCGGUUCUAGGGUAGCCUGCCGGCUCAGAGCGGUUCUAGGAGCGGUUCUAGGGUAGCCUGCCGGCUCAGAGCGGUUCUAGGAGCGGUUCUAGGGUAGCCUGCCGGCUCAGAGCGGUUCUAGGAGCGGUUCUAGGGUAGCCUGCCGUCUCAGAGCGGUUCUAUGAGCGGUUCUAGGGUAGCCUGUCGGCUCAGAGCGGUUCUAUGAGCGGUUCUAGGGUAGCCUGUCGGCUCAGAGCGGUUCUAGGAGCGGUUCUAGGAGCGGUCUUAGGGUAGCCUGUCGGCUCAGAGCGGUUCUAGGAGCGGUUCUAGCGUAGCCUGCCGGCUCAGAGCGGUUCUAGGAGCGGUUCUAGGAGCGGAUCUAGGAGUGGUUCUAGGGUAGCCUGCCGGCUCAGAGCGGUUCUAGGAGCGGUUCUAGGAGCGGAUCUAGGAGCGGU